GCAGAUAGGGAGGAUGAAACCCCACUAUAUAAAGUAGAAGACAUCCAACUUGGUCUCCGUAAAGGUUCAGAAACUCCAUCCUAGUCAGCUAUCAACCGAAACCUCCAUCCUCAAACUCUUGAGUAAAGAAUGACGACCUUGAGUGUGUUGACGACCUUGUUCGCCCUGCUGGGUGUCCUGUUAGCAAGUCCGUUCAUUGACCGCCUGCAGCAAAAUGCUAAACAACAAGGAGGCUGAAGAGAGGACCAAGGACCAGCCUCUUCAAAUGAUGUAUAGAAUGUUUUGUGGCUGGAGUUGUUUGCCUCAUUAUCAAAAAGUAACAAGAAACGGCCAUUGCUAUUGUGAAAAGAAAACACAUCAUGUAAAGGAAGGUUUCUUAUCAUAAGGGAGGAGCUAUUGCAAGUCCUAUUUUACUUCUGGUUUGAGCUGUGCAUGAGUGCUUGCGUGGUGUGUACAAAACAAUCAUGGACUAAUACAUUUACAAGGCCAACAAUGUAAAAAAACAUAAUAAAUAUACAAGGCCAACAGUAAACCCAGAUAAUGAGAAAACAAUUGGGGGAAAGGAAAAACAAGACUCAGUCUUACAACUCACAAAACGAGCAACAAUCUAAACAUGGGCUGAAAUAUGUCCUUCAUUUAUACACCGGGUGGGUCUAAUGCUGAUUGGUGUGUCUUCCACAAGUUACCACCGGCUAAAUCGAUGACGUUAAAAUGCCUAUUUACUCUGUUCCAUCUGACUGCGCAAUCCACUGUCUCAUCAGCCCAGCCAGGUAGUUUAUAAACGUGAUCUCCACUAU